AUGAACGCUAGCGGCAGGCUUAACACAUGCAAGUCGAGGGGCAGCGAGAUGUAGCAAUACAUUGUCGGCGACCGGCGCACGGGUGCGUAACGCGUAUGCAACCUACCAUAUACAGGAGGAUAACCAUUCGAAAGAAUGACUAAUACUCCAUAGUAUUAUUUUGAGGCAUCUUAGAAUAAUUAAAGAAUUUCGGUAUAUGCUGGGCAUGCGUGACAUUAGCUAGUUGGAGAGGUAACGGCUCACCAAGGCUACGAUGUCUAGGGGUUUUGAGAGGAAGAUCCCCCACACUGGUACUGAGACACGGACCAGACUCCUACGGGAGGCAGCAGUGAGGAAUAUUGCGCAAUGGGGGAAACCCUGACGCAGCGACGCCGCGUGAGUGAGGAAAGGCCUUCGGGUCGUAAAGCUCUGUCAAGAGGAAAGAAGUGUACAAUGGCUAAUACCUGUUGUAUUUGACGGUACCUCUAAAGGAAGCACCGGCUAACUCCGUGCCAGCAGCUGC
rnacentral:rRNA from 1 species